rnacentral:rRNA from 1 species
UACAUGGGGUGCAAACGUUGCUCGGCAUUAUUGGGCGUCAAGCGCACGUAGGCGGUUUGUUAAGUCGGAUGUGAAAUCCCUCGGCUCAACUGAGGAAGUGCAUCCGAAACUGGCAAGCUUGAGUACGAGAGAGGGUCGCGGAAUUCCCGGUGUAGAGGUGAAAUGCGUAGAUAUCGGGAGGAACACCGGUGGCGAAGGCGGCGACCUGGGUCGAUACUGACGCUGAGGUGCGAAAGCGUGGGGAGCAAACAGG